UUUUAAAUUUUUGCGCAGUUUUUUUAUGGCAUCUUAUUCGUAAUCAUCAGAAGUAUCACCUGUUCUCGUUUUUGCUAGUGUUCUGGUUACAUC